UCUCUCUCGUGCGGCUGAAUCGCCGCCUGUCCCUCUAAGAAGUUCAUCAUUGCCCGAAGGAAAUGAAGUCCUAUUUAAUAAGAUGGAGUCUCGUUCGUUAU
rnacentral:rRNA from 1 species